rnacentral:rRNA from 1 species
AGCGAACGCUGGCGGCAGGCUUAACACAUGCAAGUCGAACGGGCACUUCGGUGCUAGUGGCAGACGGGUGAGUAACACGUGGGAACGUACCUUUCGGUUCGGAAUAAUCCAGGGAAACUUGGACUAAUACCGGAUACGCCCUUCGGGGGAAAGAUUCAUCGCCGAUAGAUCGGCCCGCGUCUGAUUAGCUAGUUGGUGAGGUAAUGGCUCACCAAGGCGACGAUCAGUAGCUGGUCUGAGAGGAUGAUCAGCCACAUUGGGACUGAGACACGGCCCAAACUCCUACGGGAGGCAGCAGUGGGGAAUAUUGGACAAUGGGCGCAAGCCUGAUCCAGCCAUGCCGCGUGAGUGAUGAAGGCCUUAGGGUUGUAAAGCUCUUUUGUCCGGGAAGAUAAUGACGGUACCGGAAGAAUAAGCCCCGGCUAACUUCGUG